UGGUAAUGUAUAAUUUUUUGUAAAUUGUGAAUUGCAAAUUUAUUUGUGAAAAACUCACGCUGCUGUAAUUAGUAUAUCCAUUAAUUUUUAAACAAGCAUUUUUCGGGCAAAAAAAUUAAAUGUGUAGAAACAAAAACAGAAAAGCCGAUGAAACAAGAAAAGAACAAUAAGCGCUUCUCCAUAAAAGCCAUAAAAACUUCCGCUGGAAUUGGUAAAGCCGAAAAAAGUCAUCAUGCGCCCAUAAUUUAGCCGUAAAAACACAAUAGGCAAAAAGGCUCUGCCCUUUAGGUAUUGCAAAGCGCAGAGUAAAUACAUAUAUAUUUGUUUUGUGUUUAUUGACAAUCAGCAACCAUUAAAAUGUCAAGUUAGACAAUACAACAAAUGAAAGAAAAUUGGCCUUUCUAUGUCCUUGUAGGGGAGAAAUUUCAAGUUCAGGUCUACACAUUGGGAAUUCGCCAAGGAUAUACAUCAAUAAAAGUUCAAGUAUCAAAGGUAGUGGUUUUCUUUCAUAUUGAGACUAAUUUAAUAUAUGCUUCUCAAGGUCGAGACUUUAAUUAAUGCUGAGGAACCGCCAAGCAAAACUAAUCUGCGAAACAAAUCAAAUGAGAUUGCGAAAUUAGCCUACAGCUAAAAACGAAAACCAAAUCAUCCAAGCGGCAACUUACAAUGGCAGUGGUUUAAACAAGGUUGCCGGAAUGGGUUCUUCAGCAUAGACAACGUGGGCCAACUAACUGAAUCUCAAUUAUUGCUCGUUCUGGCAUUACAUUUAUAAAUAAGGUUCUUCAUUAUCACCAAUUAAAGCAUACAAGCAGCUCGUUUCACUUGUAAGUUAUUUUUAAAUUAUAUAACCUACUUCAGCUUUGAAAUUAUACAUAAUGUAUAUAAAACAUAAAAUAAAUAUAAAACAACUGACAACCCUAUAAGAGAGUGUCUCGAAUAUCAGAUACCCAUUACUCCGUAUACCUUACGAGCUUUGCAUUGAGACCAUUAUGUGAAUUGCUAAUAUAUUUGCAUGAAAAGUGCAUGGAUUGAUUGACUAAUCAAUCUUGUAUCUUUAUCGAAUAUAUUGUACACAUUAAAGCAGGAAGUAUAAAAGUAGGUAAAGCAUGUAUAAGAACAGAUAAAGCUGAUAAAAUUAAAAAUAUUUGCAAAGUCUAUAAACGGUCUCUAAAUUAUAAACUGCUCCGCUUAAAUUGAUUUUAAAUAAAUAUACCCAGGAACAGUACUACAGUGCUCCUUCGCAUCCGGUUCUUAGCAUUAUUAUGUUUAUAACCGCAAUAAUAAACACCCAUUUGCACCCUUGAGAUUGGAAUAUAGAAGUCCAUGCCAUGGGAAAUGUAUCAAGUGCAGGCAGCGGAAAAGCAGUGCAGCAAUCGAGAAUGAUGAUUAUGGGGAUUACCAUGGAGGUGGUGGCUGUGUUGCAGAUUGGAACAGGUUCCAGCUAAGCGUUUGCAUCGGCAUCAGUUCGCAAGUUGGCUUCUAAAGGGCAUUUGCUAGCGUUCAUGUUGCGUUGUCAUUGCGGCAGCUGCUAUUGUAGAUGUUGUUGCUGUCGGUUAUCUUGUUGCAGUUUAUAUAAUCAAAUCUCAUGCUUCGUUAAUUCAAAAUGUCGUUACGUGCAACAUGACAAGCUAGCUCCUUGGGCACAACUUGAAAGUCUGCACAUUGUGCUACAUCAUCUUGACAGCACCCAGCGGCAAACGAGAAGGACCAUGACGCAGGACGAUCCCAUAACUGAGCAAGUGAAACGUAAAUAAUACUGAGGCGCAAAUCGAAUCGAAUAGGACAACAAACCACAUCAUCACUACCCACCCGCUUAUCACAUAUCUCCCCAGUGCUCUGCAGUGCCACAAAAGACGACCCCUUGUGUAUGCUACACAUUUUGAGAGACCACCGAAGUCUGUGCCCUCCUGAUUGCGUGUAUCUCUCGCAACACUUCUCUUCAACAAUAUUUCCACAAUGUUGUUCGACAUGUGUACCUUGUCAGGCAUUUUAAAAAGCGCCACUCAAAGGGGUACAUUUUAAAAAUAAUAGAACGGUGGCUUUAAGAUUUUACGGCAAUAAAAUUAAACUGCUCCGUAAAUAAUCUUGAUAAUAGUGGUAAGUUAUAAAUGCAAGGGUAAUUCAAAUUAACGCUCCUAAAAUUACCCUUCUUUCUGUAUUAUAGGGAAUUUCCUUUCAUAAUUUUAUCCUUUCUGAAAGCGGCGAUAUUUUUUGCAACUCACUUCAAGGUUCGUCAGAAGAUGCUGAAAUGAUUACGGCAUUGAUGACGAAGAUGAUGCUCCCAGUCUUGUAAGGCCUCAAUUUUGGCCCGGAGUACAAUUGGUAAAGGCCAGUUUCCAUAACGAGACUACCCUACCCUUGGUGUUGACAAAAAAUCAACCAUAAUCUAUAUCUGUACAUCUGUAGUUCUGUUGGGCAUUUUCCGGCUCGCCGCUGUGUUUAGCACGGUCAUAAACUUUAUUUUCGUUUAUUGUUAUUGGCAUUGUCUGCUCCCAUUUUAUGUUGCCUAUAAAUUUGGGCUGGCUUCCGAGCCCAAGAAAGCCCGAAACAGGAAUCUUCCUUAUUUAUUCCUUGUAAUUUCAUGUUAAUGGUUUUGUUGUUGUUUGCCAGAUAGUUUCUCCUGGAUCGGAAUGGUAAAAUUAUUCCAAGGGUCAACUGUAAAUAAAUUCACUGUACUGUCAUGUUAACUCUUUGUCUUUGAUAAGGUAGUUAAAGCUUAAGGUGGGUUUAAUGUCUGUAAAAAAAGAAAAUAGGAAAUUUUAGGAACUUUUUGGCCUUUUCUAUCCCAGAAUUUUACGGCAUACAAAAUGGGAAAAAGGAAUUUUGGCGAGUCUUUGAAAGCUUGAGCAGACUUGGCACUUGUCUUUCUAUUUUCCAGCAUUUUCCUCUCAUCUCCUCACGUCUAUUGGACAUUUUUGGCAAACAAUCAAAGCAAUUAUGGCAGACUCUCAGUUAAUAGGAGUUUUCCCAACCUCUUUGAAAUGUUUUUCCUGGCAACCAGGCAAACCCGGCCUACACCAGGCUCCAGACUCCAGACGAGCUCCUUACCAAUUAACGUCAAUGGAAAGUAACACAAAUGUCACUUAAUGAUGCUGACGACUUUUUCAUCUUCCUACCGAAUUGUGCCCGGCUUUUACCCUCUUUUGUGUGUAUCUUUACCGACCGCAAAUUAAUUGGCGCACUCACAAUUUAUUUUGUAAUUGUUAAAUUAAUAAGUUUGUGGCUGCCCUGCUCCUGUGUUGCUGCCACAAAAUUCAGUGCCAAAAGUGGGCGUCGCUGGCUGCCUGCAACUUUUUGUGGAAAAUUUUUAAUUGCUAGUGUCGGCGCUGUCGUCAUCGUCACAAACCGUUUGCCAACUUCCAGACGACGGCAAUUCCCAACUACGGUUUAUAGUUUUUUUUUCUUUUAAUUUUUUUUUUUUUUUUUCAAAUUUUAGACAGCUUUGGGCCGGGCUUGCCUGUUGAAACUCGUGGGGGUACUCAGGCUGGAAGUUACCUGGUACGUAGAGCAGUCGGGCAGGAGGAAGAACCAUCAGCAUAAUGAAAAAGUUUCGAACUGUUUUCCCUACAGUGGGCACGAAAAUCCGGCAUUCACCAAGAGUGAGCAAAGUGCUCCCUAAGCCACCGAAAAAAGGAAAUCAGCUCAUUUAUUCAGUAUUUGUAUUUAUCACAUAAUACAUAAUACAAAUUAUAAAGUAUAACAUAAUAGUAUACAUAUAAUAAUACAAUGUUGAGCCCACUGUUCAAUCGCAGUUCUGGUGUUCAUUUCCUUUGCUUUAUUCCUUAGUUCUGCUUUGGCAAUAUGCUCAUUAUAAAUGUGCAGGGCUUGUGUGCAAAAGAGCGUGCUUAUAAAUCAGAAGUAUGUACGAAUAUGCAUAUAUAUAUAGAGUAUAUUUUUUUUCCAACUCCAAAGUAAGUUGAAUGCGAAAAAGGCAGGCGCAACUUUUGUACUGCGCUCCUCGCAUUGUCUAUGGUUUUUUAUGCCUUUUUGUUGGCGUUGCCAUCGUCAUAGGCAUGGUUACCCAGCUACCCAGCUGCUGUGGUUUUUGCUGGCACUGUAGCUAUAUUAGCAACGCCAUUUGAUAAUGGAUUCCUUAUUUAUGUAUGAACAAAAUCCCCAUAUAAACCGGGAUGAUGGCACCGAAUCGGAGUUUGGGGUCUAGCUGUCAUGGCUUAGCUAACACGCUCAGUCGGGCACUGGCAACUGGAAACUUGCUAAACGCCGACAGACUCAUUAACAAUUUAGAAAUGAGUGUCUUGUGAAAAUUGAAAACAGAAAAAGCGGCAUACAGAAGUGGGCUAUUUUUCUUUUUUCAAAUUCAGCGUAAAUUCCCUGAUUUAUUAUUUAAAUAAAGCUAUCGAUGAAACGACAUUUAUGUCAUUAAAAUUUAAUAACGUGAAUUUUGAAAUACGCCAUAAUUUAUUCGGUUAAAUUUAAAACCUAAACGCACGAUUAGUGUGAUGUCGAGUUAAUGAUUAGCGCCGAAACUAAUAUAAAAAUAUUUGGUAAAGCAGAUGAAUUGAAAUUUAUUUCAUGCAUUAAAUCUUACUGUGACGUACAGUUACGAUGCUUACAUGUGCGGCUAUGUAUGUAUCUUUACUUGAACGAAGACUUAAAAACACAUUUCAUACAGUAUUGAAAUGUAUUGUAAAAGGAAAAUAUAGGGACUACGGAUCAACAAAGCUCAACGAAUUGCUACAAAAUUUGGGUAUUACAAAUAUUCAGAGUGGAUUUCUCAGUUUGCGCAUAACCCAGUUUCUGGUUUAUACAUACAUAUAUGGCAAUGGCAACAGUAUUGAUAUUUGCAUAUGUGCCAUAUGUGAAAAAUUGCACAUGUGCCUGGGCGGGAUGGGUGAAAUAAGUGGGUGAAAUGGAAGGAUGUGAGGAAUUCAUCUACCACAAACCCUUUUUCUAGGUUAUUCAUUGCUUUUGACUAUGAAAAAUGCUUUGGGGCUUGCUGGGUCAAACUGAGCCGUUUGUUACUGUGCUGCCUUCAUAAAUUUAUGAAUGUAUUUAAUUGAAAUUUUGUUUUUGCAAGCAGAAGCUUUAACACUCAAACCUAGAAAGGACUACCUGAUGGAGAUCUUCAAAAAGCAUUCAAAAGUUAAUGUGACGCAUGCAUUAUCAUCAAGAGAAUUUAUAUUUCUGUUUUUUUUAUUUUCAUCGUUAGAUAACAAAUUUAUGAUUGUUUUACAACAGUGAAAACGUGCUGAGUGAUAUUUGAAUGAGUCAUUAAAAUAUACAAAAAGAUUCAGUACAGAGACGGUUCUCUUCAAGUUACGAUGACUUAUCAUGCUGUUUGUAUGAGCUCAAAAUAGCUAAGUGAUUUGCGAGCUGCGGAUUGUUUAUUUGCGCUAAUCGCUUUCGUCAGAUAAAAAUGGUCCCAAAAUUGUUUACUUCUCUUAACAAUAUACAUUUUAAACUUAUCUAACUGAAUAACGAUAAUGGUAAUGAUAAAUGCCAGCAUAUAUUUGCAAAAUUCGCACUCUAAUAGAAACAAGCAAAUGGGAAAUUCCCAUGACAGCCGGAAAACUUGCAAUAGAGGUUGCUCUUAUGGCAUUCGAUGUUAAAUGGAACGCUUUAAAUUCUAAUGCCCAAACGCUCAGGGCUCAUGUUCGUGGUGUUGUUACCAACCCAACAUCGCUGUUGUGCCCUCCAGUGCAGCAAAUGACAUUAUUAACCCAGUUUCUCGUACUUUAAGCUCACAAUACACACUCUUACAUGCUUUCAGCCAUCAUGCGCUUCGACACCCACAACAAACAACAAAAGCGGGAAAAACUACGGCACUCACAGAUCAUAUUUAUACCCUUUCUUGUUCAACACUAAAAUGUUAGUCAAUGAUGAAAAAGCUGUUUCUAGGUCCAACAUUAUUUCCUUCAGCUUAAACUUUAUUUUUAAAAAAUAUGGCUGCAAACGAGAAGUGAAUUUAAAUUCGGUAAUAUUUUUUUUAAGCUUAUUUGUUAGACGAGCUUUUGGUUGUUGUUUAUUUGUUGCUUCACUUGCUUCUUAUUACAUUUUACUCCUAGUUAGUAGUUGCUGCUAAGCUAAUGUCUUCACCCUACUUUAAACGGACAAAAAGCGACUAAACUUCGCUGAGGGCAGCUUCACUCAGUGCUUACACAGUCAACGCCUUUCUGUUAAGCCAACAAGAAAUAUAUCACACGUAUGUGUAAAUUAACAAA